AGUGAGGAUGACUCCUGCUCCUGUCAUCUCUAAGCUCCUCACACAUCUUUACCUGCACAUGAGGAAAAUCACUCCUGUAGAAUGCAGAUGUUCAGAGGGAGAUGAUGCCACAUCUGGUCCAGCUGAUGGAAGGUCUUGAAGUUCUCUGACUGGCCUCGACUGAAGAUGGUCUUCUCACUGGAUUUAAGAUGCACAAUGAGGGACGUCUGCAGCGACUGAGAAAGAGUCUCACCACAUCCUGACAUGAGGAAAAAGACUUUAUUGAAGACUACAAUGAGAAAAACUAUCAGACAGCAGACGGCUGCAUUCAAGAGAGGAAGACCAUCAAACAUCCACGUCAGCUGAUGGAGGUCCAAGAGUCUCACCAAACAACCAACCUACAGAGUGAAGACCUCAAAUCUAAUUGGACGGCCUCCUAUUCAGCCACGUGUGAACAAAUGCCUCUAAAUUGUUCCAGAUAAGACAAGUACAAGAUUCUUCAGAGCCGUUCUACCACGAGCCUGACAGGAAGA
ensembl:lncRNA